AGGGAAACCGAGUCUUAACUGGGCGUUAAGUUGCAGGGUAUAGACCCGAAACCCGGUGAUCUAGCCAUGGGCAGGUUGAAGGUUGGGUAACACUAACUGGAGGACCGAACCGACUAAUGUUGAAAAAUUAGCGGAUGACUUGUGGCUGGGGGUGAAAGGCCAAUCAAACCGGGAGAUAGCUGGUUCUCCCCGAAAGCUAUUUAGGUAGCGCCUCGUGAACUCAUCUUCGGGGGUAGAGCACUGUUUCGGCUAGGGGGUCAUCCCGACUUACCAACCCGAUGCAAACUGCGAAUACCGAAGAAUGUUAUCACGGGAGACACACGGCGGGUGCUAACGUCCGUCGUGAAGAGGGAAACAACCCAGACCGCCAGCUAAGGUCCCAAAGUCACAGUUAAGUGGGAAACGAUGUGGGAAGGCUCAGACAGCCAGGAUGUUGGCUUAGAAGCAGCCAUCAUUUAAAGAAAGCGUAAUAGCUCACUGGUCGAGUCGGCCUGCGCGGAAGAUGUAACGGGGCUAAACUGUGCACCGAAGCUGCGGCAGCGACGCUUAUGCGUUGUUGGGUAGGGGAGCGUUCUGUAAGCCUGCGAAGGUGUCCUGUGAGGGAUGCUGGAGGUAUCAGAAGUGCGAAUGCUGACAUAAGUAACGAUAAUGC
rnacentral:rRNA from 1 species